UACGUAGGGUGCAAGCGUUAAUCGGAAUUACUGGGCGUAAAGCGUGCGCAGGCGGAUAUUUAAGUCAGGGGUGAAAUCCCAGAGCUCAACUCUGGAACUGCCUUUGAUACUGGGUAUCUAGAGUAUGGAAGAGGUGAGUGGAAUUCCGAGUGUAGAGGUGAAAUUCGUAGAUAUUAGGAAGAACACCAGUGGCGAAGGCGGCUCACUGGUCCGGUACUGACGCUGAGGUGCGAAAGCGUGGGGAGCAAACAGG
rnacentral:rRNA from 1 species